rnacentral:lncRNA from 1 species
GCACAAAAAUUCAAGCAGGGAAUGUCACUGCUUCUGUACGUAAUUCCUCAGCAAGAAAUCGUAUAGACAAUUCUAGAAGUACGUUGAUGUGUUGUGCAAAUGUUUUCACAGCUAACGUCAACGCGCGACGGCAUCCAAAUGAUCUGACUCGUGAGAAGAUUUUAGCUUGUAUGCAAACUUUGAUGCUUAUAGAUUGUCGCCAAGACAACCUGUAUUUCUUGUGUUUAGUGUUCUGUUUGUUUUCGUGCCUUUGACACGUUUAAUAACCGCCUGUGAUGUAAGAAUGAAAUAUUUAUUUGUCUAAGCGGAUGCAGCUUCUUGUAGCUGGCUGUACGAGAGCUUUCCACAAUUUGACGCGAUGUUGUUAAAUCACAAGUUUGCAGAUUCAGCAGUGAUUACAAUAAGCUGAACAUUUAUUGUUUAGGGAUGUCACAAUUUCCUGAGACGGAGGCAUCUCUGCACCACAAAGGAGACUGCGGCACUAUGCAGCCUGAACAGCACGACAAAGCAUCUGAUCUGCCUGCUUUGACAAGAUGUGGCUGGGCCUGCAGAAAGAGUGUAAGCACACUACUGUGUUGCUGAUCAGUGCUGGUGCUGAUCUCUACGUCUGAGUUGGCCUCACAACGUCCAGGCGCCACUGUGCUUUGCUUCAUUGACAAGGUGUGGCUGGGCCUGCAGAAAAGCUGUAAGCAGACUGCAGUGUUGCUGAUCAGUGCUGAUCUCCACGUCCGAGUUGGUCCCACAAUAUCCAGGCACCACGGUGCUUUCACAAGGUUCACAAUCGAAAUGGGUUAUUUAUUUGUGCUAGUAAGUGGAUGUGGGUAAACCAAGCCAAAACGGACAGCACGUUUGCCAGGGAGAUUGCCCGAUGCUUGUGGCAGGCACAGGAAUUAAUCCACAGGAGUGUUACGAGCAAAAGUAUGUAUGCGAAAGCUAAAGGAAGGUGGUGAUGCCAAGCCAGCGUUGACACCACAAAAUCUUGGUGCAUAUCUAAGUAGACCCUGUCCUGCUAGCUCAUGUUUUCAUAAGGAUUGCAAAGUGUUUGGAAGUUAAAGGAGUAAUGCCUAUCACACGGUGCUUUUUCUGCACGAAUAUAAUGGGCUGUCGGUAAGAUCGGGUUGUAUUGAGGUGAUCUCUCAUAUGGGCCGACACAGUUUACAUCUACACAUCAGGGGCAUG